UACAGAGGUCUCGAGCGUUUGUUCGGAUUCAUUGGGCGUAAAGGGCGCGUAGGCGGCGGGGUAAGUCUGGUGUGAAAUCUCGGAGCUCAACUCCGAAAUUGCACUGGAUACUGCUCUGCUAGAGGGCUGGAGAGGAGAUCGGAAUUCACGGUGUAGCAGUGAAAUGCGAGAUAUCGUGGAGGAAGACCAGUGGCGAAGGCGGAUCUCUGGACAGCUCCUGACGCUGAGGCGCGAGGCUAGGGGAGCAAACGGG
rnacentral:rRNA from 1 species